rnacentral:rRNA from 1 species
UACGGAGGGUGCAAGCAUUAAUCGGAUUUAUUGGGCGUAAAGGGCGCGUAGGCGGGGAUGAAAGUCAGAUGUGAAAUCCCGGGGCUCAACCUCGGAACUGCAUUUGAUACUCCAUCUCUUGAGGAUAGGCGGAGAAAACGGAAUUCCGCGUGUAGCGGUGAAAUGCGUAGAUAUGUGGAAGAACACCGGUGGCGAAAGCGGUUUUCUAGCUUAAACCUGACGCUGAGGCGCGAAAGCAAGGGGGAUCAAACAGGAUUAGAUACCCUGGUAGUCCUUGCCGUAAACGAUGUAUACUUGGUGUAGCUGGACUCAACCCCAGUUGUACCGGAGCUAACGCGUUAAGUAUACCGCCUGGGGAUACGCACGCAAGAGUGAAACUCA